rnacentral:rRNA from 1 species
UGGGGAAUUUUGGACAAUGGGCGCAAGCCUGAUCCAGCCAUGCCGCGUGUCUGAAGAAGGCCUUCGGGUUGUAAAGGACUUUUGUCAGGGAAGAAAAGGGCGGGGUUAAUACCCCUGUCUGAUGACGGUACCUGAAGAAUAAGCACCGGCUAACUACGUGCCAGCAGCCGCGGUAAUACGUAGGGUGCGAGCGUUAAUCGGAAUUACUGGGCGUAAAGCGGGCGCAGACGGUUACUUAAGCAGGAUGUGAAAUCCCCGGGCUCAACCUGGGAACUGCGUUCUGAACUGGGUGACUAGAGUGUGUCAGAGGGAGGUAGAAUUCCAUGUGUAGCAGUGAAAUGCGUAGAGAUGUGGAGGAAUACCGAUGGCGAAGGCAGCCUCCUGGGAUAACACUGACGUUCAUGCCCGAAAGCGUGGGUAGCAAACAGGAUUAGAUACCCUGGUAGUCCACGCCCUAAACGAUGUCGAUUAGCUGUUGGGCAGCAUGACUGCUUAGUAGCGAAGCUAACGCGUGAAAUCGACCGCCUGGGGAGUACGGUCGCAAGAUUA